rnacentral:rRNA from 1 species
AUGAACGCUGGCGGCGUGCCUAAGACAUGCAAGUCAAACGUGCCCGCAAGGGUAACGUGGCGAACGGGUGAGUAAUACCUAGGAACGUUUCCCGAUACGGGUAUAACCCUCCGAAAGGAGGAAUAAUCCCCGAUAGUAUCGAAAGAUUAAAGUGUAUCCGUAAGGAUUAUCGAUCGGGAUGCGGCCUGGGCACCAUCAGCUAGUUGGUAGGGUAAUGGCCUACCAAGGCGAUGACGGUUAGGGGCCCUAAGAGGGGAAACCCCCACACUGGGACUGCGACACGGCCCAGACUCCUACGGGAGGCAGCAGUUUGGAAUAUUGGACAAUGGACGAAAGUCUGAUCCAGCGACGCCGCGUGGUGGAUGAAGGCCUUCGGGUUGUAAACACCUUUUGGCAGGGAAAAAUUUUGAUUGUACCUGCAGAAUAAGAGGUUGCUAACUCUGU